UUCCCUACGGGGGCAGCAGUGAGGAAUAUUGGUCAAUGGGAGAGAUCCUGAACCAGCCAAGCCGCGUGAGGGAAGACGGCCCUAUGGGUUGUAAACCUCUUUUGUCAGGGAACAAAGGCGGGGACGUGUCCCCGGAUGAGUGUACCUGAAGAAAAAGCAUCGGCUAACUCCGUGCCAGCAGCCGCGGUAAUACGGAGGAUGCGAGCGUUAUCCGGAUUUAUUGGGUUUAAAGGGUGCGCAGGCGGUCUGUUAAGUCAGCGGUCCAAGCCCGGGGCUCAACCCCGGCCCGCCGUUGA
rnacentral:rRNA from 1 species